rnacentral:tRNA from 1 species
ACCUGGCUGGCUCAGUUGGUAGAGCAUGUGAUUCUUGAUCUCAGGGUUAAGUUCAAGCCCCAUGCUGGGUA